CUCAGCAGAAGGGGCUGGGAAAGGGUGACCCAGCAUUUGAAAAUGGCACCCGAUUCUUGGGUGGGCAAAUCUCCGCAAGUCCUUACACCCAUCUAGGUGGGUGCCUACCUCUGGGGGAAAGCCUCAGGACUGACCAGACGAUGAUCUGUGACCAGGCACUCUUGAAAGGCCUCUGGAAGCCCUGGCUCUCUCACUCUUGGAGAUCUCAGCUUUCAGAUUUUUUUUUGCGGAACGCUAAAAAUCUCAUGAGCCGGAUCCUGUAGCUAUGGAGACUGACAGAUCCGAUGGCUGAGGCUAGUGCUUUCCCAAUGGGAAGAGCUCCCAAAGUCCCUGUGGUUGUGUCUUCAAAGCUGAAGUCAUGAAGAGGAAUCAUCCCUCAUUUCGAGCUGUCCUUUGGGUUGGAGUAUGCAAACUCACCCUGAGCUAAAUGCUGCUGCUGGCAGGAAACCCUGCUGCUCAGCCAAUGGAAUAAGCAGGUCCAAGAAGAUGACCAAAUAAUUCUGGAGGCUCUGAAUUCUCCAUCAUGAGUUCAGAUGGUUCAAUUCUGAUCAUCGGUUCAGGUAUUGGCUAAAUACCAGUGGGCCAGAGAGUGUGAUGGUGGGAAAACUCUUGCAGAGAAGUAAAUGGGCCAGAGAAGUGGACUUGCUUGAGUCCAGUUGUGGAAGGGAGUUGGAGUACAGAAGGCCACUCAUGUCAUAAACAAGCCCGUGGGGUGGCAAAGAUGGCAAAGACCCUGACGGAUUUCAUCUGGUGAAGCGAGGCCCAGACUUUGGAGGCUUUGGAUCUGGGCAGCCUGGCCCCAGAGUUGGCCACGCUUUGCUGUCUCCUCUCAAAACUAAUCCAAGCAGAAUGGGUUUCAAUUUCCCAAAGGACCCGCGAUCGUCCAAGGAGGGUUGGAAUAAAGGAGGUAAAGAUGGAAGCAGAGAAGAAAGAAGGUUAAUGGGUCGCAAACAGAGACCUGUUGGAGAGACCCUUGAGGGUCUCAGGAUCUUGGCUCUCUUUUGAUUCGUGUAAAAAGGAGGACGUCUGAGCACCUUCGCUGGAAUUGGCCCUCCAGGACUCACCCUCGCUCCCCAGUGACUUCCAGACCUUUCAGUGAAGGAUUCUGUGCGCCCCUCCUGGAUUCCUGGGACUAGGCUGGCAGAGACUGACACCCGGGGCCGUCGAGUCCCGUUCUGGGUCCCAGUUUGGUAGAGGAAACUUGGAGAGGCAGGGCUUCCGAUGGCCCUGCAGGAGCCUGGGCCUACCUGCCACAUUCCAUUCUUCAGGUCUUAAAAGCCUCCUAUUCUUUUACAAAUCACUGGUUCAGGCCUAAAUUAUCCAGAUAAUUGAGCCGCCUGGCCCGUCACUUUGUUGGCAUAGACACCAUUUAUGUGUAAUCUGAGAAUAUUCUAUCUGCUGCCGAGUUUCUUCCAAAGGCAUUAUUUCUAACCUUCUUUAAGAACAAAUUUCCGGUUGCCAUGGAGAUCAUUUUUAGGCUAAUUUUAUCGGGCGCAGGAGCCAGGGCUGGAAGCAGCUCUCGCACGUUUCUCAAGUUGUCUACUCUGGAGAGUCCUGAGGUUGUCUUUGUCCAAGAGGCUCCCCGACCUCAACGUCCUUUGAACCAGACAAGUCCGGUGAUAGUCACGUUUUGGUUCAGAAUGUUAAAAGCCCUGACAUCAAUUGUCUAGGUAUUUUUGAUUCGUUUUAAUGGGAAAACACUUCAAGAUGUGUGUGUGUUGGGGGGGAGGGGGGAGUCUCAGUUUUAUAAAUACGUGCUUUCUGAAACCUGCUUGUGAACAAACUGUUAAAAUGAGAGCUUUCCGAGCUAGAAAAGACUAGAAAAUUCAGAAAGCGUCAAAGGCAUUUCAUAAGCACCAAACCUGGCCCCCGCUGAGGUGCGCGAGGGGAAGCCGAGGAAUAGGACAUGAAAUCUGCCUCCAGGAAGUUGCAAUCUGGUGAGAAUUGAAUUGCUUUAGAGCUGGGAGGGCCCCUCAAGGAUCAUGCCUGUUAAUAGGCUCAUUUUACAAGUUGGGAAAUUAAUCCAAACGCUCAGGGCUGGUGCUCGGGAGAGUUUAAAAACCAAGGUCUCUUGGCUCCCAGUCACUGGGGUAGAGUUUGUGUAAGCUGGACCACACCUCUCCCGGAGGCUCCCACCUGCCGCUCUGCUCCCUGCUGUCCUCACCUCACCUUGUUCGUUCAGGUCACACAAGCAUCCGGAUGUGGAAUUGGGAUUCGAAGCUGAGAAGUCUGGCUUUGAAGCUGCUGCUUUUGUGAAGUCUCCAGACCGCGCUUAAAUUUAAGCAUAAAACAACACGGCGCUGACCAUAGGUUAUUUAGAGGCAUAAAUGUAAAGGACCCGAAUUAUCUGCACUGGACAGAUGAAGAUGCUGCCCCCCCCCGUCUGCGUAAGGGCUCCGCAUGAAGGCCUGACAAUCAUGUGCCUGGGCAAUGUGUGAUGCUCUUUUAAAUUGCCUUUCUUCCUCACCGGAGGUUUGGGAAAGUCUUCUAGCUUGGAUGUGGAAAGCUGACUGGUGGUACUGGCAGUGCGGGUCUUGCGGCUGAUGCCACCCUCUCCUUGGGACUCCGCUCAUUGAGGUCUGGCUGGUCACCAAUGUGUGGCAACAGUGGCUUCAGAAAGGAACUGGCUGUCAGGCUCCUCCUGUGUUGUUACCCUUCCCAUGUGCAUGGAUAGCUGCAAACUAAGGAAAUAUUGACAUGCUGAUGGCCUUGGCCGCAGGAGCUCAGAGCUACACUGUCCAGCGAGUCUCCCUGGUAAGCCCUUGCUUUGUCCCCUGAUGGGCCUGCCAUUUGCUCCGGCCUUUAGCUCUCUUUGGGCUCCUCGAAACCCAUUAGUGUAUUCCUUCUAAUCAUCAUGCUCACCAUGCACACUGCUGACCAGAGUCCUUUCUGAGCAAAUGUCCCUGACCCCACCCUCUUGCAUCACACGAACAGGUUUGUAGGAACGGGUGUAGGUCCAGCUGAGCCAGGAGACAGCUAAUGGUCACGAUGAUAGGUUAUCAGGGCAUUGCUGCAGACCACACAGACAGCUGCCCAGAACUUAACUGCUGUCUGCUUUGCUCCCUAAACAGUCACCGUGACCUCCCCCCAGCUGUUCUGACAUUCCAUUCUCAAGGCCUAAGGAAUGCUCGGUGGCCAAGCUAGAUGUUACCUCGUUGGCUGGAUUCUUAGUACACGAAAUGAAAACGGGAUCCGUGGGGCAGAGUCAUGUCUGAGGCAGGACCGGCAAAAGCAAGGGGGAGGCAGGGCAGGGGCAGUGUGGGAAGAGAAAGGACAUUCUGAAGGGGACUGCAUCAUGAAGGCCCAGGACAAAGGAAGCAAAUGUUUAGAGGCAGCUACUUAUAAUAGUCAGGGACUCUCUAAAUAGGCUUUUUUUUUUUUUUUUUUUUUUUUUUUUACUCUUUCGGGAACCCGAGUUGGUAGGCAUUCUCAUUCCCAGUUAGCAGGUGAAUAAAGUGAGGCGCAGGCGGGCUGCCACCUGGCUAAAAGUGACAGAACUAGCUAAGUCUGGUUCCGGAGCCCAGCUCCUAUCCACUGCACCAGCCCAUCAGAAUCAGCCCUUAAACAAGGUUCACAUUCCGAGUUGUUCAUUAUACAGGGAAAGAGCUUCGGAGGCCUGUUGAGGUUGAUUUGCAUAAUUCAUUUUUAGAACAUUAAUUAGCCGGGAUGUGUAAUAGUUCUUGUGCCAAUUUGUGUUUCAAUUUCAAAUGCAAAUACAAAUUAGCAAAUGUUAUUCCUGUGGCACCUUAAGGAUGAAACAUUUGCUGCUUGUAGUGAGUAUUAAUCUUUACAUUUCUGAAACUAUGACUGAUAGAAGCGAUAAUAUCCUUUAAUUUGCAGGAUUGGGGGAAAAACUAGUCUGGUGGGUAAGAAGCAAUUUUUUUUUAGCAAAAGGAAAAAGCAUGUUAGGCAUCCAUCCAUCCAUCUAUCCAUCCAUUCAUCUAUACAUCCAUCCAUCUAUUCAUCCAUCUAUCCAUCCAUCCAUCCACGCGUCCAUCUAUGCAUCCAUCCAUCCGUCUAUCUAUGCAUCCAUCCAUCUAUCCGUCUAUCUAUGCAUCCAUCCAUGCAUCCAUACAUCCAUUAAAUACCACUGAACAUGAACUAAGUGUCAGACUUUGCUGUAGGAGACAGAGGUGGCUCCAGGGAGCUCACACACAUAGUGGGAUAGAGUCAUGUCACGAAACAAGGACACUAAAUUGGGAUAAGCUUUAGAAGAGAGCUAAACUUUCAGGUGGUGGAACAGAAAGGCCAGAAGUGCCCAGGAACGGUUCCCAAGGAAUGGGACACUGAGCAAGCUGACUCUUGAAGCGGUGGGGGGACGAAGCCAGGGAGAAGUGGGUUGUCAGUGGUGGCCAUGAGACCACCAUGAGAGACAACUUUCAUGUGAGAUCCGGCAUGCUUGGGGGACUCCAAGCCUUUCUGCUCAGCCCGAACAUACGCUCACUUGCAGCUAUGAGAGCAGGGGGAAGACGAUGGGCAGCCUUGUCUGCAGGCUGCAUUGUUUGGAAUUCAAUCUGCAGAUCUUUGAGAGCCAUUGACCGAAGGAACUGGUGGGAUUGACAUUUCAGAAAGCUCAUUCUGAAGCCCAUGUGGAGAAUGUGAGAAGGAGACUGUAGACAUGGCGUUAAGAGAUGAUUGGAACAACCCUGCAGAAGAGACGUGCUGACCACGGCAGCUGCAGGGGAAGUGGAGAGGAGGGGACAUCAUAAAGAGAUAUUUCAGGAAUAUCUGAAUCUCUGGGGAGGCAAUGUGGGCUUAAGAGCAUAAGCUUCAAAUCCACUUGUUCUCUUUCCAUCCUGGCUCUGACCUUGGGGAGCUCCCAUAGUGCUCUCUGCUGGCUGUCUCAUAUUGCCCUGGAAAAUAUACCAAGUUUAAGAAAAUAUACCAAAUCUAGAAAGGAAGUGAACCUCCAGCAUCAUGUUGAGGAUGGCAUGCUGGGGAGGUUGCUGAGAGAAUAUUGUGUUUUGAUCUCAAUACCAGCCACUCAGUCAUUGAAACAUCACCACAGGUGAGGCCACCUUUCCCCGUGGACUCUGAAGUCGAGUGAGGGGAUUCUCCACAGACGGUGAUUGUCUGCCUUCUAAGGGCGUAUAUCCGAAUCUGUAACCUGUGAAUAAGUCUCUAGAAAGCCAGACUGGAAUACCUGUUGAUCAAAUGUAGCAGUGAGUAGUGGCAUUUGACGAGCCGAUGUCACAUUCCUGUGGGAUUCUCGGUAGGGACGACCCUCAAAAAAAUGAGUGGACCCAAUAAAAAUGACUUCAACUUGAACCUACAAGUAUUCACUUCCCAUUUAAUUUUCGUAAAGUGAUGGGAAGGGCUGAGGGUUCUGAUCUCUGGGACUCCGUUUACCCGGCUGACUAAGGAGGUUAGGUGAGAUGACUUUUUUAAGGCCCAGUUCCACUCUUUAUACAAUUUCUUUGAGUCAUUUCCUGUGAAUAUCCUAAAUCUCUCAGCCCCUAAUGACUGAUGUAUUAUAUUACGGAGGUCAUUUUGCAUUCCAGGGUUUCCUCCAGAGAGAAGGACAGGGUGCUUCUACAGAGAAAAAUUUCCCAGGGGAUUUGAUAAAUCCAGAUUCUGACAUUUAUCUAAGGUCAUCUCAACUGACCUGUUCUAACUUUGAGAAUUCCACUCUUUCCCCCUCAAUGUCCUAAGAACAUCCCGGCAAGGCUGUGAAUUCGAUUUACAUUGUAAUUCUGCGACUUGUAGACAUAAACUUUGGGCCUGACUCAACCUGGAGGAUAUGAGAAAUUGGCAAUUCUUUUAGGGCUGACACGGAGGUUUUCCAGUUUUCAGAUUCUACCUUAAGCUAAAUAUUCAAACUUGGGUCUUGACCUUCUCUUCAGGUAAACUCUCCUGUGGAGUCAGAGAUAGCACCUCCCCAUCACACCAGUUCUCGUAAUCAUUCUGUCCAACACUACCAGUGACUUCAUCUCUGGAAACGUUGCUUUCAAUGCCCAAGUCGUCACAGACAAUUGCAGAUAAUAACUUAAGUAACUUGUCCUUGUGCUAGUUGCCAUCUACUAGUACAUUCUUCUUCUUUUUAUUUUUUUUUUAAAGAUUUUAUUUAUUUAUUCAUGAGAGACACAGAGAAAGAGGCAGAGACACAGGCAGAGGGAGAAGCAGGUUUCCUUCGGGGAGCCCAAUGCAGGACUCGAUCCCAGGACCCUGGGAUCAUGACCUAAGCCAAAGGCAGAUGCUCAACCACUGAGCCACCCAGGGGCCCCUACUAGUACUUUCUAGAACGUUGUCUACUCGCACAUGAUUUUGACCAAAUACCCAGAUAACUCAUUUCAGGUUGCCAGUUUGGAGAGUUGGUUGCGCAGAGUCUAUGCCUGUGUAGCUAACCUGCUGGUGUGGCUGCUGGUACUAUGGCAAAAGCCCUGCUUGUAGGGAGUUGGGAGAGGGGAGCCUACUGUCAAUGACAGCAUGGGAUCUUGAGAGGCCACCCUAAUGCCUGCUGCUGUACUGUUCCUCUAGAGUCAGAGCACUCAGGCUCCAUGCCACCCGAUGGCUGACGUGCUGCUGCCACUCCUGGUGCCAGAGCCCAUGGGCAUCGUGCUGCCCGCACAUCCCUUACCAACCUGUCAUUCCCGACGGAGCUGUGUUACCUGAGCAGAAACCCUGGAGCCCACGUCUGUCUGCCGCUUCUCUUGCUGUUGCUAGAAGCAAAAGACACUCACAUACAGGUAUUGAAGAAAAGUUGGAAUUUCUCGAGAAGAAAAUUUUCUCUCCUAAGCUGUAAUCCUACGAGCAGAUACAGUCACUGUUCCUGCUUUCCAGUCUUUUAAAAUAUAUUAUCUGCAGGGCUGAUAUGCAGUGGUGCUGGCACAUAGUAGAUGCUCAGUAAAUAUUUGCGGAAUCAAAGGAAUGUUAUCAUUUGGACUGUGUGCGAAAGAAAACCUUAUAAAACCUUCUAUAAGUAGCUUAUUUGUUAACAAAGCCCCCCAAAGCAAGUAGUGACAGAUAAUCCUGGUGCCCUGAUGGCUGCAGACUCUCUGCCUGGUGCUCUUUCUCUUACACAGACUGAACUCCUCAGCCAAAGGCCACUGCUACCAAUGGGCCAUGACAGUGUCUGGCAGUUGGAAAAGGAGACCAGGAUUCACUGAUCCUUGCCCAACCCUUAUAACCAAGAAUUUUUAAAAUCUGGUAUAGUGUUAUGGGUUCAAUGAUGCUGCUCAGAAGGAUAUGUUGAAGCCCUUAGCGCCAGCACAUCAGAGCGUGGCCUUAUUUGGAAACGGAGUCACUGCAGAUGUCAUUGGGUAAAUCGAGGCCUCUAUUCCAUACAUGAUGAGUAUCUUUAUGAGAAGAGGAAAGUGUGGGGGCCGCCCACGCAAGAUGGAGGUAGAGAUUGGAGUCACAUUGCCAAAGCCAAGGAAGACCUGGGACUGGCAGAAGCCGGAAGGGGCAAGGAAGGAUCCCCCCCUUCUAGAGGCUUCAGAGGGAGCAUGGCCAGCUAACAUCUUGGAUUUGGACUUCUGGCCUCAGAACUGAGUCAGUGAUCUCUGUACCCGCUCUGUGGGCCUUGGCUGGGCAGUCCCAGGGGGCUAACAUGUGUGUGUGGUCCAGCCCGCCCUCCUAAGGCAGUGAGGGCCGUGUGAGCCACUGUACAACAGAAGCACACGCACCGACACUUUUCUCCAGCACUGACCUAGUUUCUGAGAAAUGAUCAAUAAACCCCGGGCAAGUCUACAGCCUGCAACGCGUCUGCAUCUGCCCUGGCUUUGCACUUCACUUCCCUCGUGUGGGCCAGCCCGAGAGCUGGCUUGUCAGCCGGAGCUUGCUUUCUCUCAUCCAACCAAGUGUGUGGGGGUCUGGCGUUGUCCUCGCUGCCCUGGUUUUGUGUGGGUCACUGCGGGGACCUUCUUGGGCUCCUGGAAGGCGGAGGUCCCAGCCUUGCCUCUUGGGGCAGAAACACAACCAGCUGUCCGUCCAAACCGGAUGUUUUAGACAGUGGACUGGAGGUGGUGCCUGAGGUCUGACACAGAGGCAGUGUCCCCAAAAGGAAGGGGGCUCGAAUCAGAAGUCCCGGCCUCCUGGAUCCUGUUGUGUUCCUCACCAAGGGACUUUGGACAGGUCACUCCUCUCUGGGCCUCAGGCUCUCCAUGGAUGGAGCUGGUCACAAUCUGUGCCCGGUCAGUGUUCUAGAGGCGGGGUCCUGGUGGGGGACAGUCUAUCCGGUGUGUCGGGGCAGCGUGGGAAUACCUGGAGCCAGGUCCAGAGGCCUGAGAGAGGGAGAAGCAGAGCAUCUGGUGUCGCCCAGAAAUAAGUGAAGAAGAGAGAAACCCGGCACUUGAUUUCUUAGUGAACUUUCUUCUAAAGGACACGCUGCAGAUCAGAAGACCCUAAUUGGAACAGCAGCAGGCGGUGCAGUCUUGGGCAGGCACCAUGAACAUUUUUUCCAGAUGGAGGGGCUGCCCCUUCUCUCUGUAAACUCAGCCGACCAAGGAGAAUUCUCCUCUGGCAAGCUCAGAGGCCCUGCUGGGAGUCCUGCAAAGGAGACACUGAUUUCCUCGCUGGUCACAAGGAGCCCGUGGGACCUGAGCUGGUUGCUCUGGGUCUGGAUGACGGUAUCUGGAAAUGUCUCGCCAGCUCCCUGCAUCACACCGAGGCCUGGCAUCAGCCAGUCAGAGAGGAAAACGUGUUCAAGUCACUCGUCCCUCACACACUUUGGGAAAAUCGUAACUCUUUCAAAACAGAUGGAUCAAGAAAUUGAGUGUCUCCUUCCACCCGGCCUCUUCCACGUGGCACUUGAAGACCCCAGAGGAAGGAAGAACACGUGAGCAAGCACAGCAGCGACCACGUUGCCUGGCUUGCUGUGUGCACAUGGCGGUCCCUUAUGAGCUCCAUGGGUCUGCAGACGUGACUUUCUUACGCAGUAGGGAAGAUAAAAAGAAAGUGUGAGAAAUGAUGAGAAACAAAGACAAGACAAUCUCUAUCGAAAGACAAGCCCACCAGGUGCAGGCAGGACACAAGGCAGAACACGAAGGCCUGAGUGAUGGAACCGAGCUGCAGUUGUCCAGGGAGGUCACCUGAGGGAGGUCCCAGGCCUGGCUGGCAAGAGUCAGCAUCUUUUUCAGCAGCCGUGACUCUGGCUGAGAAGAUGCCUCUCGAGUAGAUCCAGAACCACCCACCUACCAUCUCCAGGAACUCAGCCCAGGAACAGGCUUCCAAGCACUGGCUCAGGGCUCCUCAUGACACGGCUUCCCCCAGAGCAAGUGGUCCCACAGCAAGAGAAUGACAGAGCAGCAAAAGUGGAAACUGCAACCCAUGGUAACCUCAUCCCAGAAGUGAUGAUACAUCCACGAGUCUCAAGACCAACCCCGGUUCCAAGUGUGAGAUGUGACUACCCGGAGGCGACACUGGCGCUUGUAACUCUGGCUGCAAAAGUGAAAAUUUAACUUAGCUCCAGAAAAAUCCAUAUCUGGGCAAAAGGAGUGCUAAUAUUUGUUCAUUCAUUCAACAGGCUCUUAUUAAGCCGUUCCUUUGUGCUAGUCACUGUUCUAGGUGCUGAAAAUAUCACGGGGACCAGACAUUCGGUUUCUGCUUUCAGAAAACAAUUAAGUAGUUCUAAGUACUAUGAAAAAAUAAAAUGAGGGAUGUGGUAGUGAAGGGGGGGGGGGACACAUGUGUUCGGCAUGUUUACUUCCAACUCACCUUUCUUCACAACAACCCUCUGGGGGUGUUAUCAGCACCCCCAUCUGCCAUUUGAGGAUGCCAAGUCUUAGAGAGGUGAGGCGACUUCCCCAGGAUCCCAGUUACUGAGAGGCGGGGCUGGUGUUUACACCAUAGUCCUCUGCCUCUUUCCCAACCUGCUAGAUCACCUCUGGGUGGUUCCAUCUACCACAACAAGAGGCCCUGCAAGCUAGGUUUAUACUUUCGAAAUCCUUUGGAGGUCUACUAUGGAAAGGUUCUAAUCCCCGAAAGAUUGCAGGCCCCUUGAGGGCAGGCCUGUUGCUUUCUUAGACCCUCUACCCCCUGGACAUCCAGGUAUUAUAAGAUGGACUAGUCCUCAGGCUCUCGCAUUGUCCUUCCUGGGCUCUGCUGUGCCUAUGCCCACCACCAUCUGCCAUUUGUUUCUGUGAGGGAGGCAUUCUCUGGAAGCUUUGCUGGCCAUCUCCACUGGCCAUCGCCUACUAGAGCCAGUGCUGAGGGGCUGUGGUCACAUCUAACGGUCUCAUUUUCAAAAAGAGCACUUUGCAAGGGAAAAGCAUCUGCCAGUUGUCAGCAAAAAUGGGUACUCAACUAAAGUGCUUUCACAUUUGUUAGUUCGGUGCCUCUCGAAGCAGACUUGUGAAGUAGACAGAAUGGGGCUCAUGGAUCAAUGUUGCAGAUGCAGACACCAAGACUCCACUUUUCCUAGAGUCUCUUAGCUGUGACUGGAAAGGUGAGGGUUUCCUGAUCCUACUACAAUGAUGUUUCUUGCCCACUCUGUAACUGUCCAGUGAUUAUGUUCCGCAAAAUAAAACUCCACGUGGCCCAGC